rnacentral:rRNA from 1 species
GAUGAACGCUAGCGGGAGGCUUAACACAUGCAAGUCGUGGGGCAGCAUGGUGUAGCAAUACACUGAUGGCGACCGGCGCACGGGUGAGUAACGCGUAUGCAACCUACCCAGUACAGGGGGAUAGCCCGGAGAAAUUCGGAUUAAUACCCCAUAAUGAUAUAGAGAGGCAUCUUUUUAUAUUUAAAGCUACGGCGGUACUGGAUGGGCAUGCGUAAGAUUAGCUCGUUGGUAGGGUAACGGCCUACCAAGGCUCCGAUCUUUAGGGGUCCGGAGAGUGGGAUCCCCCACACUGGUACAGAGACACGGACCAGACUCCUACGGGAGGCAGCAGUGAGGAAUAUUGGUCAAUGGGCGCAAGCCUGACCCAGCCAUCCCGCGUGAAGGAAGAAGGCGCUAUGCGUUGUAAACUUCUUUUCCGGAGGAAUAAAAUUUUGUACGAGUACAGGACCGAGGGUACUCCGGGAAUAAGCAUCGGCUAACUCCGCGCCAGCCGCCGCCGUAAUAC